rnacentral:tRNA from 1 species
AGCUAGUAUAGCUCAAUUGGUAGAGCAUCUGAUUUGUAAUCAGUAGGUCAUAAGUUCAAAUCUUUUUACUAGCUA